rnacentral:rRNA from 1 species
AUGCACGCUGGCGGCGUGCCUAAUACCUGCAAGUCGAGCGAACGGACGAGAAGCUUGCUUCUCUGAUGUUAGCGGCGGACGGGUGAGUAACACGUGGAUAACCUACCUAUAAGACUGGGAUAACUUCGGGAAACCGGAGCUAAUACCGGAUAAUAUUUUGAACCGCAUGGUUCAAAAGUAAAAGACGGUCUUGCUGUCACUUAUAGAUGGAUCCGCGCUGCAUUAGCUAGUUGGUAAGGUAACGGCUUACCAAGGCAACGAUGCAUAGCCGACCUGAGAGGGUGAUCGGCCACACUGGAACUGAGACACGGUCCAGACUCCUACGGGAGGCAGCAGUAGGGAAUCUUCCGCAAUGGGCGAAAGCCUGACGGAGCAACGCCGCGUGAGUGAUGAAGGUCUUCGGAUCGUAAAACUCUGUUAUUAGGGAAGAACAUAUGUGUAAGUAACUGUGCACAUCUUGACGGUACCUAAUCAGAAAGCCACGGCUAACUACGUG